UCUCUCCAGAACGAUCGCUAGCAACUCCUCUCGCUGAAGAAACCUCCAGCACACGCGCUGCACCCGCAGCGUCUCCACGCAGCACCCCCGUCUCUCACCUCCCAACUCUACCAAAACCCUUGGCGGCUCCUUCGAAAAAAAUAGGCCACCACCGACGGAGGAGGGUGGUGAACAUCUGGAGGCGGCGACCGGAGGAGAGUUUCACGGGGAGCAUUGAUAAUUGGGUCUGGUCACUCGCGGUGUGAUUUGUGAGAAUUUCACGGGGAGCAAAUGAGGGGUUCAAAUUUUCUUUGAUGAAUGAGGGGUUGGGAUUUCAACAAGUUAUUCAGUAUCAAGGUUUUCAAACAAAUCAACCAGGUAUCAGUUCUCAUCAAAUAGGCAAUAUAUAUACUUGAAUGUGUAGAUACAGGAGGAUCAAGUCCAAAGAGCUCAGAGUCAUGCAGAUAAGUAGAAGUGCAGGUUAGAGGAGGUACUCUCGUAGGGAGCAGCAGUACGAUACGACGUUCUAAUGCAGACGAUG